rnacentral:rRNA from 1 species
AAAAAUUAGCGGAUGACCUGUGGCUGGGGGUGAAAGGCCAAUCAAACCGGGAGAUAGCUGGUUCUCCCCGAAAGCUAUUUAGGUAGCGCCUCGUGAACUCAUCUCCGGGGGUAGAGCACUGUUUCGGCUAGGGGGCCAUCCCGGCUUACCAACCCGAUGCAAACUGCGAAUACCGGAGAAUGUUAUCACGGGAGACACACGGCGGGUGCUAACGUCCGUCGUGAAGAGGGAAACAACCCAGACCGCCAGCUAAGGUCCCAAAGUCAUGGUUAAGUGGGAAACGAUGUGGGAAGGCACAGACAGCCAGGAUGUUGGCUUAGAAGCAGCCAUCAUUUAAAGAAAGCGUAAUAGCUCACUGGUCGAGUCGGCCUGCGCGGAAGAUGUAACGGGGCUAAACCAUGCACCGAAGCUGCGGCAGCGACGCUUGCGUCGCUGGGUAGGGGAGCGUUCUGUAAGCCGCAGAAGGNCGCUGGAGGUAUCAGAAGUGCGAAUGCUGACAUAAGUAACGAUAAAGCGGGUGAAAAGCCCGCUCGCCGGAAGACCAAGGGUUCCUGUCCAACGUUAAUCGGGGCAGGGUGAGUCGACCCCUAAGGCGAGGCCGAAAGGCGUAGUCGAUGGGAAGCAGGUUAAUAUUCCUGCACUUGGUGUUGCUGCGAAGGGGGGACGGAGAAGGCUAGGUUAUCCGGGCGACGGUUGUCCCGGUUUAAGCGUGCAGGUGUGAAGACCAGGCAAAUCCGGUCUUCUUUAACACUGAGGCGUGACGACGAGGCUCUACGGAGCUGAAGUAACUGAUGCCCUGCUUCCAGGAAAAGCCUCUAAGCUCCAGGCAACACGAAAUCGUACCCCAAACCGACACAGGUGGUCAGGUAGAGAAUACCAAGGCGCUUGAGAGAACUCGGGUGAAGGAACUAGGCAAAAUGGUGCCGUAACUUCGGGAGAAGGCACGCUGGCGCGUAGGUGAGGGGACUUGCUCCCGGAGCCGAGGCCAGUCGAAGAUACCAGCUGGCUGCAACUGUUUAUUAAAAACACAGCACUGUGCAAACACGAAAGUGGACGUAUACGGUGUGACGCCUGCCCGGUGCCGGAAGGUUAAUUGAUGGGGUUAUCCGCAAGGAGAAGCUCUUGAUCGAAGCCCCGGUAAACGGCGGCCGUAACUAUAACGGUCCUAAGGUAGCGAAAUUCCUUGUCGGGUAAGUUCCGACCUGCACGAAUGGCGUAAUGAUGGCCAGGCUGUCUCCACCCGAGACUCAGUGAAAUUGAAAUCGCUGUGAAGAUGCAGUGUACCCGCGGCAAGACGGAAAGACCCCGUGAACCUUUACUACAGCUUGACACUGAACAUUGAGCCUUGAUGUGUAGGAUAGGUGGGAGGCUUNCGCCAGUCCGCGUGGAGCCAUCCUUGAAAUACCACCCUUUAACGUUUGAUGUUCUAACGUGGGCCCGUUAUCCGGGCUGCGGACAGUGUCUGGUGGGUAGUUUGACUGGGGCGGUCUCCUCCCAAAGCGUAACGGAGGAGCACGAAGGUUGGCUAAUCCUGGUCGGACAUCAGGAGGUUAGUGCAAUGGCAUAAGCCAGCUUGACUGCGAGAGUGACGGCUCGAGCAGGUGCGAAAGCAGGUCAUAGUGAUCCGGUGGUUCUGAAUGGAAGGGCCAUCGCUCAACGGAUAAAAGGUACUCCGGGGAUAACAGGCUGAUACCGCCCAAGAGUUCAUAUCGACGGCGGUGUUUGGCACCUCGAUGUCGGCUCAUCACAUCCUGGGGCUGAAGUAGGUCCCAAGGGUACGGCUGUUCGCCGUUUAAAGUGGUACGCGAGCUGGGUUUAGAACGUCGUGAGACAGUUCGGUCCCUAUCUGCCGUGGGCGCUGGAGAAUUGAGGGGGGUUGCUCCUAGUACGAGAGGACCGGAGUGAACGCACCGCUGGUGUUCGGGUUGUCACGCCAGUGGCACUGCCCGGUAGCUAAGUGCGGAAAAGAUAAGUGCUGAAAGCAUCUAAGCACGAAACUUGCCCCGAGAUGAGUUCUCCCUGGCUCCCUGAGAGCCCUGAAGGGACGUUGAAGACGACGACGUUGAUAGGCCGGGUGUGUAAGCGCAGCGAUGCGUUGAGCUAACCGGUACUAAUGACCCGUGAGGCUUAACCUUACAACGCCAGAGGCGUUUUG